AGGUACAACAACAAUAACAACACUGAAUCUGUUUGGCUGGCUGUGUUGUACUUUUCCCUUCCUCUCUUCUGUGAACCUCAAAAUUGGCUAAACAUCUCACCUGGCAUGAAGCCCUCCAGUCAGUCUUAGUUUUGUGGACAAACAAUCAACAACAUCAUGGGAACAGAUGGAGAGAUGAAGAGGAGAAACUGCUACCUCCCUGGAGUGAUUAUUUUCUGGCUGUAAGAUUUAUAUUAACUGAUUAAGAAUGUAGGCAAGCUCUGAUACUUUCUGUAAGAAGGUGUUUAUAUAAUAUAUACAGUAUAUACAGAA